rnacentral:rRNA from 1 species
CCUACGGGGUGCAGCAGUGGGGAAUAUUGGACAAUGGGCGAAAGCCUGAUCCAGCAAUGCCGCGUGUGUGAAGAAGGUCUUCGGAUUGUAAAGCACUUUCGACGGGGACGAUGAUGACGGUACCCGUAGAAGAAGCCCCGGCUAACUUCGUGCCAGCAGCCGCGGUAAUACGAAGGGGGCUAGCGUUGCUCGGAAUGACUGGGCGUAAAGGGCGCGUAGGCGGUUUAUGCAGUCAGAUGUGAAAUCCCCGGGCUUAACCUGGGAACUGCAUUUGAGACGCAUAGACUAGAGGUCGAGAGAGGGUUGUGGAAUUCCCAGUGUAGAGGUGAAAUUCGUAGAUAUUGGGAAGAACACCGGUGGCGAAGGCGGCAACCUGGCUCGAUACUGACGCUGAGGCGAAAGCGUGGGGAGCAAACAGGAUUAGAUACCCCCGUAGUC